rnacentral:piRNA from 1 species
UGCCAGCACAGUUCCAUCUCAGGGCUGCCA